AGGUGUCUGGAAAGGAGGCAAACGUUUAAUAAAAGGAUUAACUUAGUUGGAGAAGAGUUAUAGUGUCUGUAAAGGAGGCAUCCUAUGUAGUGCCACCUGGCAAGUGUUGUUAAACGAGAAGAGGGGGAAGUUAGAAGAUGAUAAAUUGACAGACAUGGUCCGUGUGUGGUUAAACUGUAGUAAAGAAUUUGAACAGACC